rnacentral:rRNA from 1 species
UGGGGAAUCUUGCACAAUGGGGGAAACCCUGAUGCAGCGACGCCGCGUGAACGAUGAAGCCCUUCGGGGUGUAAAGUUCUUUCGACAGGAACGAUAAUGACGGUACCUGGAGAAGAAGCUGCGGCUAACUACGUGCCAGCAGCCGCGGUAAUACGUAGGCAGCGAGCGUUGUUCGGAGUUACUGGACGUAAAGAGUGCGUAGGCGGCGAGCCAAGUUUGGUGUGAAAUCUCCCGGCUUAACCGGGAGGGUGCGCCGAAAACUGGUUGGCUGGAGUAUGGGAGAGGAAAGCGGAAUUCCUGGUGCAGCGGUGAAAUGCGUAGAUAUCAGGAGGAACACCUGCGGUGUAGACAGCUUUCUGGACCAAAACUGACGCUGAGGCACGAAAGCGUGGGUAGCAAACA